rnacentral:rRNA from 1 species
UACGUAGGGUCCGAGCGUUGUCCGGAAUUAUUGGGCGUAAAGGGCUCGUAGGCGGUUUGUCGCGUCUGCUGUGAAAACUCGGGGCUUAACCCCGGGCCUGCAGUGGGUACGGGCAGACUAGAGUGCGGUAGGGGAGACUGGAAUUCCUGGUGUAGCGGUGAAAUGCGCAGAUAUCAGGAGGAACACCGGUGGCGAAGGCGGGUCUCUGGGCCGUAACUGACGCUGAGGAGCGAAAGCGUGGGGAGCGAACAGG